UGAAGCCCAAUUUUGACAAGUCCAUCAAGACUACUUUUCCUCUUCGUGAAAAAACCCUAGCAGCCAUAGGCCUUCCUCUUCCUCAUAAGACCAAGAAUAUAACAAUGGAGAACAAAAAUUAAAAACCCUAGAACGCCAAGCAUCAGCCAUACAUUCACGCGCAGCAGACCAGCACCGCCCUCGUGACUCCUCUCAAACUUCACCAGCCAUCGUUUCUUCUCCAUAGCCAAAACGGUUGAACCCUAGAAAGACAAACCCUAGGAAAACUCUUGAGCCGCCGCCCGCCAGCCUUCCACCGAGCAGCUUCAGUCGUUCAACCACCGGAGAAACAACAGCCAACUACUUCCUCUUCUUCACCAUCUCAACACCUCCAGAAAAUGUCCAGUCCAUAAGCCAUCAUGAAACCCGCUCCAGCGGCGGCGCUGCCCACUCAGAACCAACGACUCUUGCUCCUGUCAACUAAUGACUCCACUCGCCGGAAAACACUAUCACGACCACCACAUUCUAACCUCAGCCGCACAACAUAAAUACACACAACACAUAAACUAAUUUCACAAGUCAAUAAUCACACACCAAAAACGUUGUUGUUCCGCGACUAGCCUGCGGCGGAAAACAUUUCUUUCUUCUCCGAUCAUCAUUCCCGUGAGAUCCGUUUGAGGGUGGUUGGAGUUCGAUUCAGCUAUUGGUCGAGUUCAGGUUUGCCGGCAAGUUCUUGUUUGUUGGUCUUGGUUGAAUUUUUCAUUCCGGAUUCAGUGUAGAUUCAGUCCCAUUUCGCAAAAUAAAACUAUCAUUGAAGGUCUAAUUCUCAUCCUUCCUUCUUGCAUUUUUAUUCUCAAGCUUUGCUGCUGAUUGAUUGAUUUUGCAAUUUGUUCUUGGCAGAAUAGUUGCUAUGCCUUAAAUUUCUUAUUCUUAAUUGAGAACAUGUGAAAUAGAUUGGUUUGAGUUGUUGGAUUUAGUUAAAAGUUGAAAUUAAGGAUGCUUAUUGAUUAAUUUGUGUUGUUCGAUUAUAUUCCAUUAAUAAGUAGCGGGAUCGGGAUUUAAAGAAAGCAUACUAAAAUUUGAGUAUUACCUAUUCACUACUUCAUUUGAUUUUGACCGCUACGGCAAUCUUAGAAUUUUUCCAUUUGUUUGCUUUUAAUUUUAAGGCGAGGGAUUGUUUCUUUAAUUUAUUAUUCGGGGAAUGUCCUGCGGAAUUUGUAUAUAUUUUAUCCGGGGUAUACCUCGACGUACUUGUAUUUAGAGACUAUAAGUGGAACUCGUAGUACUUUUACUUUUGUUUUUUAUUUUAAUUUUUUUAUUAUUAGUGGGAACGACCUCGAGCCUAUUUGAUUAUUUAUUUUCUUUUGUGUGUUUUUGUUUCCUCACUCGAACAUUUUAGAAGUCAACUUGAUCAUGUACGCAACCGUACUAGCUACGAGACUUGGGGAAUACCUAACACUUUCUCCACGAGUCAAAUGAACCCCCUUACCUGAAUCUCUGGUGUAGACUUAGUUUUAGAGUCUCAAGUGUUCUAAAAUGAAAAAUAUUUUCUAAAAAACGGUGGCCUGGCACUCCAAAUCAAAUGUCAGGUGACGACUCUUAGUUAUUUCCUUUCGAACAAAUUUUUGUCACUUUCUAAUUGAAAACCAUUUUCAAGAUUUAAUCAAAUCUUUUUAUUAAUUUAAAAGGGUUUAAUAGAGUUUGGUUAAAAAAAAGGGUGUGACACCAGCUACCCUGGUUUUAUUUAUUAAUAGAGUGUUGUGCUCGAGGGGCUGAUUUGUGUGCGGACUUGCACUACCUUCUAUGGCAUUCAUAUGCUUAACUGUUAAAAAGAAAAGAAAAAGAUAUUUUUAAACUGAGCCAGAUAUUUUCUAAUGGAUUUUUCCCGGACUUACUGUUUUUUAAAAAGGUUGUGCUAUCUAUAUUGCGUGAUGGUGUGCUCUUACGUGAUUUGUUGCCGGUCAGUUAUUAUUUGCCCUUAUUACUUACUGAGUUGGAGUACUCACUUUACUCCCUACACCUCGCGUGCAGUUGCAGGUACUGUUCACCCGAUAACGGGUUAUCAGCGGACUGAAGGUACACUAUUGUUGUUUAGUAAGGUGGCCGCCAGCGUUCACGGCACCAGAAUUCUUCUUUUGCUUCUAAAUCUUAUUUUAUACAUAAUAUUGGCCAUGUAGUGGUGUUCAGUUUUCUUUAGAUGCUCGUGACAUGUGACACCCCGGUCGGGUUGUGUUGAGUUAUAAAUAGCAGUUGUUAAUUGUAAUAAGUUGUAUUAUUCAUUCAUUUAUAGUUAUUAAUUGAUAAAUAAGGCAUUGUUGUUCUGUUAGCUGGCCUUGUCUUCAUGAGAGGCGACAUCAUUACCGGG
rnacentral:lncRNA from 1 species